rnacentral:rRNA from 1 species
UACGAAGGGGGCUAGCGUUGCUCGGGUUGACUGGGCGUAAAGGGCGCGUAGGCGGAUAGUACAGUCAGGCGUGAAAUUCCUGGGCUCAACCUGGGGGCUGCGUUUGAUACGUAUUGUCUGGAGUUCGGAAGAGGGUCGUGGAAUUCCCAGUGUAGAGGUGAAAUUCGUAGAUAUUGGGAAGAACACCGGUGGCGAAGGCGGCGACCUGGUCCUUGACUGACGCUGAGGCGCGAAAGCGUGGGGAGCAAACAGG